AAAGUCAUGUUUCAUUCCUUAUGGAAAGGUUCUUUCAGAACUCUUCAUUGAACAAAGAGUAGAGAAAAUAAUGAUUGAGGUUACUUCACAAAUCUGGGGUGACAAGUUAAAGAUUCUGGAAGCUUUGAAAGUUGUUGAUCCUUUUGUUGUCAAGGUGCUCUCUUUAGAUGGAUCGUCUUCUUUUGUUUAAAUUUCUCUUGUUGUUUUCUUUUGUGACUUUUUUAUCUAUGUACUUAUCUUAUCCUUUCAAUGAAA
rnacentral:lncRNA from 1 species